AUGGGUUUCAUGAAUCACCAUAUCCAGAGAUUCGUCGACACAGCUGGUUGUGAGAUAAUCUUCAGUUACCAUAUAACUGGAAUUAACCCAUGCAAGUCGAAGAAGGAUUGGCCGGUGCUACCGGCUGGCGUCAAGUUCGAUCCCACGGAUCAGGAGCUGAUCGAGCACCUUGAGGCCAAAGUGAGUGCUGACAGCGCGAGAUCUCACCCUCUCAUCGAUUUGUUCAUACCAACCAUCGACAGCGAGCACGGCAUAUGCUACACCCAUCCUGAGAAAUUUCCAGGUAUCACACUGAGUGGCCUAAGCAAGCAUUUCUUCCAGUGCAACUCCAGGGCGUUCAAAAGGGGCACGUGGACGCGUCGCAAGAUACAGUCGGAGUGCAGCAUGCACGCGAUGUGGCACAACACCGGCAAUACCUUGCCGGUGAUGGUCAACGGCCGGCAGACAGGCAGCAAAAAGGUUCUGGUGCUGCACACCAACAAGAACUUCGACCGACAGAGGACCAACUGGGUGAUGCACCAGUACCACCUCGGAGACCUGGAGCAAGAUGAGGAGCGGGAGCUGGUCCUCUGCAAGAUUUUCUACCAGACGAACACUAGGGCCAGGAGUAAAAAGAUUAUAAGUUAG
rnacentral:rRNA from 1 species